UCCGGACACUCUAUGAUGAUAUAACAUAUAACCAAGCAUAGUUCACACUGAAACUACCGUGUUGAUAACCAAGCAUCACGUCUUUCGCUCCUAUCUGAUCUUCUCU
rnacentral:snoRNA from 1 species